AAUGUCUCCAUUGUCACUUUUCUUUCUUUGGGGUUGAUUGUGUAUGUUUGUUUGUUUGUGUUGCGCCAACUUAAUGGACUCAUUUGGCCUUCAGAUGAAAGUUUGAAAGCUGGUAAACAUCAGGAGCUCCAUCAGAACUGUCCACUUCAGACAAGUGGGAAGCAAGGCACAACUAAGCAUUCAAGUCAUGUAGGCAGUGCCCCAGGACUUGAAUCCAAGGAAGAACCCAAUGGAGGUCACUGCUUCUGAUGAUCACAAUCAUUAUCCAAAAAGACAACGGACAAGUGGGGCUUUUGCUGAAGCUAGCAUGACGCCGGUGAUUAUUGGGUCUUGAGCGGGGGAUUAUUGCAGCAUGAACUUCGCGUGCUCUGCAGAGACAGCCGAGUGUUGUUAGAUGUCCACUUCUAUUAGAUAUGCAGCUGUUUAUUAGUUGCUACUUCUAUGUUGAGUUAUCACACCACACAGCGGCAAUGUCCACUUCUUAGAACUUAAUGCUAAGUUUCGUGCGUGCAAA